GCCGCGGUGGUGAAAUUGGCAUACACGUACGCUUCAGGUGCGUAUGACCGCAAGGUCGUGAGGGUUCAAGUCCCUCCCGCGGCACCA
rnacentral:tRNA from 1 species